rnacentral:rRNA from 1 species
UUCCAAUCGAACUCGGAGAUAGCUGGUUCUCCCCGAAAUAGGUUUAGGCCUAGCCUCGAAUAUUGCAGCCUGGAGGUAGAGCACUGAAUACGCAAUGGCCCCGUCUAGGGGUACUGAGUGUAAUCAACCUCCGAAUGCCAGGUGUUGUAGAUUCGGGAGUCAGUGUAUGAGGUGAUAACGUCCAUACGCGAAAGGAAAACAAUCCAGACCGCCAGCUAAGGUCCCUAAAUAUAUGUUAAGUGGGAAAGGAUGUGGAGUCGCACGAACAGCUAGGAGGUUGGCUUAGAAGCAGCCAUCCUUUAAAGAGUGCGUAAUAGCUCACUAGUCGAGUGACUCUGCGCCGAAAAUGUACCGGGGCUAAACAUAUUACCGAAGCUGCGGAUUCGUAUUUAUACGAAUGGUAGGGGAGCGUUCUAAAUGCGCUGAAGAUAGAUCGAGAGGACUAUUGGAGCGUUUAGAAGUGAGAAUGCCGGUGUGAGUAACGUUAGGUAGGUGAGAAUCCUACCCACCGUUUGACCAAGGGUUCCAGGGUCAAGUUCGUCUUCCCUGGGUUAGUCAGGACCUAAGGCGAGGCUGAAAAGCGUAGUCGAUGGACAACGGGUUUAUAUUCCCGUACUGCUUAUAGGACUGAUGGAGCGACGGAGAAAGCUAGGAAGUGCCUGUUAUUGGAUUCAGGUUUAAGCGCAUAGGUUGAUACACAGGAAAAUCCGUGAUAUCGAGCAAACUGAAACGUGAUGACGACGUGGUCUACGGACUACUAAGACUUCUGACGCUAUGCUUCCAAGAAAAACUUCUAAAGAUAUGCUAUAAGUACCUGUACCGAGAACCGACACAGGUGGUCAAGGAGAGAAUCCUAAGGUGAGCGAGAGAACUAUGGUUAAGGAACUCGGCAAAAUGACCCCGUAACUUCGGAAUAAGGGGAGGUUUCUUCGGAAACCCGCAGUGAAUUGUCCCAGGCAACUGUUUACCAAAAACACAGGUCUCUGCUAAAGCGUAAGCUGAUGUAUAGGGGCUGACGCCUGCCCAGUGCUGGAAGGUUAAGAGGAUAUGUUAGAUAGAGGAAACUCGGUGAUUCGAAGCAUUGAAUUGAAGCCCCAGUGAACGGCGGCCGUAACUAUAACGGUCCUAAGGUAGCGAAAUUCCUUGUCAGGUAAGUUCUGACCCGCACGAAAGGCGUAAUGAUCUGGGAGCUGUCUCAACCAUAGACUCGGUGAAAUCUUAAUACCUGUGAAAAUGCAGGUUACCAGCGACAGGACGGAAAGACCCCAUGGAGCUUUACUGUAGCUUGAUAUUGAGAUUAGAUAAUUUAUGUAGAGGAUAGGUGGUAGACUUUGAAGUAAGGACGCCAGUUCUUAUGGAGUCGCCCUUGGAAUACCACCCUUAAAUUGUUUGAUUUCUAACUUGCAGCCGUUAAUCCGGAUGAAGGACAGUGUCU